rnacentral:misc_RNA from 1 species
GAUGAAGAACGCAGCGAAAUGCGAUACGUAAUGUGAAUUGCAGAAUUCAGUGAAUCAUCGAAUCUUUGAACGCAUAUUGCGCUCUUUGGUAUUCCGAAGAGCAUGCUUGUUUGAGUAUCAGUAAACACCUCAAAGACUUCAAUUUGUUUUGAAUGGCUUUGGACUUGAGCAAUCCCAACACCAGUCUUUACGAUCGGUGGAGGGUUGCUUGAAAUGCAGGUGCAGCUGGACAUUCUCCUGAGCUAAAAGCAUAUUUAUUUAGUCCCGUCAAACGGAUUAUUACUUUGGCUGCAGCUAACAUAAAGGGAGUUUGACCGUAUUGGCUGACUGAUGCAGGAUUUCACAAGGGUCGGCAACGAUUCUUGUAAAACUCGAUCUCAAAUCAAGUAAGACUACCCGCUGAACUUAAGCAUAUCAAUAAGCGGAGGA